rnacentral:rRNA from 1 species
ACUCAAAUGAAUAGACGGGGGCCCGCACAAGCGGUGGAGCAUGUGGUUCAAUUCGAUGCAACGCGAAGAACCUUACCUGGGUUUGAACUGUGAUUGAAGUUUCCAGAGAUGGGAAUGCUUAGCAAUAGGCAAUCACAGAGGUGCUGCAUGGCUGUCGUCAGCUCGUGUCGUGAGAUGUUGGGUUAAGUCCCGCAACGAGCGCAACCCUUGCCUCUAGUUGCUCGGCUGUUAAGGUCAGCACUCUAGAUGGGACUGCCGGUGAUAAACCGGAGGAAGGUGGGGAUGACGUCAAGUCAUCAUGGCCUUUAUGUCCAGGGCUACACACGUGCUACAAUGAGCGGUACAAAGGGUUGCCAAAUCGCAAGGUGGAGCCAAUCCCAUAAAACCGUUCUCAGUUCGGAUUGCAGUCUGCAACUCGACUGCAUGAAGGUGGAAUCGCUAGUAAUCGCGGAUCAGCAUGCCGCGGUGAAUACGUUUCCGGGCCUUGUACACACCGCCCGU